GGAAUCUACCCAGAUCUUCGGAACAACUGAGGGAAUCUUCAGCUAAUACCGGAUACGCCCUACGGGGGAAAGAUUUAUCGGAUCUGGAUGAGCCCGCGUUGGAUUAGCUAGUUGGUGGGGUAAUGGCCUACCAAGGCGACGAUCCAUAGCUGGUCUGAGAGGAUGAUCAGCCACACUGGGACUGAGACAUGGCCCAGACUCCUACGGGAGGCAGCAGUGGGGAAUAUUGGACAAUGGGCGAAAGCCUGAUCCAGCCAUGCCGCGUGAGUGAUGAAGGCCUUAGGGUUGUAAAGCUCUUUCAGUAGGGAAGAUAAUGACGGUACCUACAGAAGAAGCCCCGGCUAACUUCGUGCCAGCAGCCGCGGUAAUACGAAGGGGGCUAGCGUUGUUCAGAUUUACUGGGCGUAAAGCGCACGUAGGCGGAUCGUUAAGUCGGGGGUGAAAUCCUGGAGCUCAACUCCAGGACUGCCUUCGAUACUGGCUAUCUUG
rnacentral:rRNA from 1 species